rnacentral:rRNA from 1 species
CCUACGGGAGGCAGCAGUGAGGAAUAUUGGUCAAUGGACGAGAGUCUGAACCAGCCAAGUAGCGUGAAGGAUGACUGCCCUAUGGGUUGUAAACUUCUUUUAUAAAGGAAUAAAACGAGGCACGUGUGCCUUUUUGCAUGUACUUUAUGAAUAAGGAUAGGCUAACUCCGUGCCAGCAGCCGCGGUAAUACGGAGGAUCCGAGCUUUAUCCGGAUUUAGUGGGUUUAAAGGGAGCGUAGAUGGGUUGUUAAGUCAGUUGUGAAAGUUUGCGGCUCAACCGUAAAAUUGCAAUUGAUACUGGCAGUCUUGAGUACAGUUGAGGUAUGCGGAAUUCGUGGUGUAGCGGUGAAAUGCUGAGAUAUCACGAAGAACCCCGAUUGCGAAGGCAGCUUACUAAACUGUGACUGACAUUGAUGCUCGAAAGUGUGGGUAUCAAACAGGAUUAGAUACCCUAGUAGUC